GCUCCCGUAGCUCAGUGGAUAGAGCGGCGGCCUCCGGAGCCGUGCGCGCAGGUUCGACUCCUGCCGGGAGUA
rnacentral:tRNA from 1 species